rnacentral:rRNA from 1 species
ACGAACGCUGGCGGCGUGCUUAACACAUGCAAGUCGAGCGGAAAGGCCCUUCGGGGUACUCGAGCGGCGAACGGGUGAGUAACACGUGAGUAACCUGCCCCAGACUUUGGGAUAACCCUCGGAAACGGGGGCUAAUACCGGAUACGACACAGCUUCGCAUGGGGUCUGUGUGGAAAGUUUUUCGAUUUGGGAUGGGCUCGCGGCCUAUCAGCUUGUUGGUGGGGUGAUGGCCUACCAAGGCGACGACGGGUAGCCGGCCUGAGAGGGCGACCGGCCACACUGGGACUGAGACACGGCCCAGACUCCUACGGGAGGCAGCAGUGGGGAAUAUUGCACAAUGGGCGGAAGCCUGAUGCAGCGACGCCGCGUGAGGGAUGACGGCCUUCGGGUUGUAAACCUCUUUCAGCAGGGACGAAGCGUAAGUGACGGUACCUGCAGAAGAAGCGCCGGCCAACUACGUG